AUUGACGGCACGCUCCUGGGAAAAUGAUCGGCCGUAUUGGGGCGUAAACUGCCUUUUCUGAGAGAAGAAACCUCUGUAGGUUCAGAGCGCGACGGUAUCUCAGGAAUAAGCACCGGCUAACUCCGUGCCAGCAGCCGCGGUAAUACGGAGGGUGCAAGCGUUGUCCGGAAUCACUGGGUGUAAAGGGUGUGCAGGCGGGGCAGCAAGUCGGAGGUGAAAGCCCGUGGCUCAACCACGGAAGUGCCUUCGAAACUGNUGCUCUUGAGUCCCGGAGAGGCUGUCGGAAUUAGUGGUGUAGCGNGUGAAAUGCGUAGAUAUCACGANUAACACCAGUAUUCUAAGCAGACAGCUGGACUGGUACUGACGCUCAGGCACGAAAGCGGUGNUGNAGCAAACAUGAUU
rnacentral:rRNA from 1 species